GACGAACGCGGCGGCGUGCCUAAUACAUGCAAGUAGAACGCUGAAGCUUGGUGCUUGCACCGAGCGGAUGAGUUGCGAACGGGUGAGUAACGCGUAGGUAACCUGCCUGGUAGCGGGGGAUAACUAUUGGAAACGAUAGCUAAUACCGCAUAAGAGUAGAUGUUGCAUGACAUUUGCUUAAAAGGUGCAAUUGCAUCACUACCAGAUGGACCUGCGUUGUAUUAGCUAGUUGGUGAGGUAACGGCUCACCAAGGCAACGAUACAUAGCCGACCUGAGAGGGUGAUCGGCCACACUGGGACUGAGACACGGCCCAGACUCCUACGGGAGGCAGCAGUAGGGAAUCUUCGGCAAUGGACGGAAGUCUGACCGAGCAACGCCGCGUGAGUGAAGAAAGGUUUUCGGAUCGUAAAAGCUCUGUUGUAAAGAGAAAGAAACGAAGUGUGAAGAAGUGGAAAAGUUCCACCACCG
rnacentral:rRNA from 1 species